AUUGAACGCUGGCGGCAUGCCUUACACAUGCAAGUCGAACGGCAGCACGGACUUCGGUCUGGUGGCGAGUGGCGAACGGGUGAGUAAUGUAUCGGAACGUACCUUUCAGUGGGGGAUAACGUAGCGAAAGUUACGCUAAUACCGCAUAUUCUGUGAGCAGGAAAGCAGGGGAUCGAAAGACCUUGCGCUGAUUGAGCGGCCGAUAUCAGAUUAGCUAGUUGGUGGGGUAAAGGCCUACCAAGGCGACGAUCUGUAGCGGGUCUGAGAGGAUGAUCCGCCACACUGGAACUGAGACACGGUCCAGACUCCUACGGGAGGCAGCAGUGGGGAAUUUUGGACAAUGGGGGCAACCCUGAUCCAGCCAUGCCGCAUGAGUGAAGAAGGCCUUCGGGUUGUAAAGCUCUUUCGGCCGGGAAGAAAUCGCAUAGGCUAAUACCCUGUGUGGAUGACGGUACCGGAAUAAGAAGCACCGGCUAACUACGUG
rnacentral:rRNA from 1 species